rnacentral:rRNA from 1 species
UACGUAGGGUGCAAGCGUUGUCCGGAAUUAUUGGGCGUAAAGAGCUCGUAGGCGGUCUGUCACGUCGGCUGUGAAAAACCCGAGGCUCAACCUCGGGCCUGCAGUCGAUACGGGCAAACUAGAGUACUGCAGGGGAGACUGGAAUUCCUGGUGUAGCGGUGAAAUGCGCAGAUAUCAGGAGGAACACCGGUGGCGAAGGCGGGUCUCUGGGCAGUAACUGACGCUGAGGAGCGAAAGCGUGGGGAGCGAACAGG